GUACUGCAGUAUUACAGAUGAAGGUUGUGCUGCUCUGGCUUCAGCUCUGAGGUCAAAGUCCUCAUCACACCUGAGAAAACUGAAUCUGUAUGGUAAUUAUCCAGGAGAAUCAGGAGUGAAGCUCCUGGUCUCUUACCACACUGUAAACUGGAGACACUACAGUGAGUUACUGACUUACUGUCUUUUUACUGUAUGAUAUUGAGUAAUAUUCACUGUGUGCUGUAAAAUGUCACAUCAAUAUGUGUAUUUAUGCUUCUGUUGUUCAUAAGCAAUGUGUUUAAAUUUGUCUGUAAUUCUGUCCUGUUGUUUUGAAUGGACAACGAACCUUGGUAGGGAACAGCUGUUCAUCUAUGGUCAUGUUCUCCUGGAGUAAAACUCUCAGCACAGUUCUUCUUGAAGCGUGUCCAGAUGUCGGAGACCGCAGCAAAUUUGUCUGUUAGAAGGUGUUGCAUAAUUGAAAUGAAUCUAUCUCAGGGCAUUGUCUCUUUGAAAGCCAGGAGAUUGUUUUGAAACCAUUUUGACCAUUUUUAAUGUCAGUAAAUAAUAAAACCUGUUUUUUUUCCCAGGUCAAAUAGACUUGAAUGCUUAUAAAUCAAAAAUUCUACAAUGAUCACCAUUCUGUGUGAUCAGCUUACAUUUGUGACCAUUUUACACUUAUGUCUAUUUUGCCUACCAGAUGCCAUCUGAUCACCCAAAAACGGGCUACACACACAACCGUCCGGCGCCUCAGGAGGGGGAAGCAAUGCCCUGCGCACACUGUUUACAGUGGGAAUGGGAAUCUGCUGACUUCGACGGUGGACAUCCUUGAAUGGUGGAAGGAGUACUUCGAAGUUCUCCUCAACCACACCAACAUGUCUUCCACUGAGGAAGCAGAGGCCGAGGGCUCAGUUGUGGACUCGUCGAUCCCCCAAGCUGAGGUCACUGAGGUAGUUGAGAAGCUCCUCAGUGGCAAGGCACUGGGGGUGGAUGAGAUCCGCCCUGAGAACCUCAAGUCUCUGGAUGUUGUGGGGCUGUCUUGGUUGACACGCCUCUGCAACAUCGCGUGACGGUUGGGGACAGUGCCUCUGGACUGGCAGACUGGGGUGGUGGUUCCUCUGUUUAAGAAGGGUGACCAGAGGGUGUGUUCUAACUACAGGGGAAUCACACUCCUCAGCCUUCCCAGAAAAGUCUAUGCCAGGGUACUGGAGAGUAGAAUUCGGCCGAUAGUCGAACCUCAGAUUCAGGAGGAACAAUGCGGGUUUCGUCCCGGUCGUGGAACACUGGACCAUGUCUAUACCCUUGCAAGGUUGCUGGAGGGUUCAUGGGACUUUGCCCAACCAGUCCACAUGUGCUUUGUGGAUCUGGAGAAGGCAUUCGACUGUGUCCCUCGUGGUGACCUGUGGGGGGUGCUCUGGGAUUAUGGGGUCCGGGGCCCUCUGCUAAGGGCUGUCCGGUCCCUAAAUGACUGGAGCAGGAGUUUGGUUCGCAUUGCUGACAGUAAGUCAGACUUAUUCCCGGUGCAUGUUGCACUCCGGCAGGGCUGCCCUUUGUCACCGGUCCUGUUCAUUAUCUAUAUGGACAGGAUUUCUAGGUGCAAUCGGGGGCUGGAGGGAGUCCGGUUGGGGACCACAGGAUUUUGUCUCUGCUUUUUGCAGAUGAUGUUGUCCUGUUGGCUUUCUCAAAUCAGGACCUUCAGCGUGCACUGGGAUGGUUUGCAGCCGAGUGUGAAGCGGCGGGAUGAGAAUCAUCACCUCCAAGUCCGAGGCCAUGGUUCUCAACCGGAAAAGGGUGGCUUGCCCCCUUCAGGUUGGUGGAGAGCUUCUGCCUCAAUUGUAGGAGUUUAAGUAUCUUGGGGUCUUGUUCACGAGUGAGGGAAGGAUGGAGCAGGAGUUCGACAAGCGGAUCGGUGUAUCUUCUGCAGUGAUGCGGUCGAUAUACCGGUCAGUUGUGGUGAAGAAAUUUAUCUCUAUUUACCAGUCGAUCUACGUUCCUACCCUCACCUAUGGUCAUGAGCUUUGGGUCAUGACCGAAAGGACAAGAUCCCGGAUACAGGCGGCCGAAAUGAGUUUCCUCUGAGAGGUGGCUGGGCGCUCCCUUAGAGAUAGGGUGAGGAGCUCGGUCACACCUCAGUCCAACCGGGAGGAGGCCCUGGGGAAGACCUAGGACAUGCUGGAGGGACUAUGUCUCUCGGCUGGAAUGGGAAAGCCUCGGUAUUCCCCCAGAAUGUUCUCAACUUUGGUCCACGAGAUCCACAUACCUACCGAGUUUUGUUCCAACCCUGAUCAAACUCACCUUCCUGCAAUUAUCUGGUAUUCCUGAACACCUUAAUUAGCUUGCUCAGGUGUGUUUAAUCAGGGUUGGAGCAAAAUUCUGCAGGAAAGUAUCAACUGUACUAACAGUUGAUACGACAUAGUACCAAAACAAUUUAGAAAGAAUCUAAUGAAUCUGUUGAAAUUACUGUGACUUUGCUGUCUGUAUGUAUGAACGUAUGCUAUUGUACUUACAUUCCACUUAUCAGGAAGAUGCAGUGAAUUUCUGUGAGUCCUCUUCAGACAAGCCUCACAAAACACUGCAGUGGAUUGUUGACUCUCUUUGGGACUAAUCAAGGUUGUCUCCAUGGCAAUUUGCUGUGUAUCGCUAUGACAAUCUUGCGGACUGAGGCACACCAAGAUUUGAUGCCGGGAGCAACGACUCUCCAGGCCUACACUUACAUACAUACACACACACACACACAUACAUAUAUAAAGAUAUGCACUCACCCCCCACCCCCCAUCCCACGCCUUCGCCGCUUUGUACCGCCAGUCUGACAAGCGGGUCUGUGACCAGCGCCGAAAGGCCGCAGGACCUGAUGGCUGCUUGCCUGUGCUGGAUUACCUCCACCCCCCACUCCCCUCCCCUGUUGCAAGUCAUGUGUUUAUGGCGUACUGUUUAUGUGCUUAUGUUGCUGAGGUGUUUUUUUCUUGUUCCCACACUGUACUCCCCACCGGAGGAUAGUCUGGGGGUUGUUGUUUUUUUUUCUCCUCCCUUCCCUCAUGUUAUGCUGUAUCUCUUCUCAAUCCCCUGUCUUCCUGUCCUGUCCUCCCCUUGUAUUGUAUGUAUUGUAUGUAUGGGCAGGUUGAUGGCUAAUUUCGCUGGUACCUGUGACCAGUGACAAUAAAGGCUACUACUACUACUACUACUCAAUGUACCUAUAAUCAGCGUGUUUUUCUAGGCAUACAACACACUGGGUAGUGAUUGGUGCUGAACAUUCAAACGACACCUUAAGCAUGUCAUCCUUGACUGCAUCCCAGGCAUGAAGCUCUCUCUUCUUUGCCUUACUGUAUGGGUUCAGCCUGUUGUCGUAAUGGAUGUGGAAGGGUCCAAAGAGUGGGUGUAUUUGGAGCUUGACCAAGGUAAGAAACCUUUGCAGGGUUGGACCUCCUCACCACCUUAAUCUUAACAUUCCUGAAGUGCGUGCUCUUAACAGCUUUUCCCAUAUCUGAAAUCUAAAUAUUAGGCAAUUAAAGCAAUAAUAUUCUGUACUUUGUUACCACAGCCUAAAAGACUGAAACGCAUCAGUAAACAUGGGAUGCAGGUGAGGUAUAUGUAUUUGAUGAGAUAGAUAGAUAGAUAGAUAGAUAGAUAGAUAGAUAGAUAGAUAGAUAGAUAGAUCUUUAUGGUGGCAGUAGGUAGUUUAAGCUGAUCCUCCCAGACCGGCAAAGAUGGUUAAGCUGGUGGGUCACCUGACCAGCUAAGUCCAGCUUGACCAUCUUAAAAGUGACAAAAACACAUUUAGACCAGCUUUCUACACAACAAAAUCCAAGUUAUGCUGGUUUUAGCUGUUUUUUUAGUAACGAUAAGGCUAUUAAUGUAAUAUAUACAACAAUUUUUUCAACAAUUAGGCCUACAACACGGUUGUUAACUCAUGUCAUGCCACUUUAAAACACAUUUUCUGUUCAGGCACAUAAAAACAUACUAGUAAUGUAAAUACUCACGUAUGUAAAGGGCUAAUAACGUAAAAUAUAGGGGCGGUUUCCCAGACAGGGAUUAAAUAAAGUCAGAACUAGCCUAAUUCUUCUUAAAUUAAUUCAGAAUUUAAAAAAGGCUUUUUGAGACACUACUUAAGUUGAGAUUAAUUAGUUGUAGACUAGAGAGUCACAGACUAAACUAAAUUAGGACUAACAGGCUACUCUUUGUGAAGACUGAUUAUAUUAAUGACUAGCGCAUGAUGAUUACCUGAGGACACUUCAAAAACCAGGGAUGGAAUCUUAAAACACAUUAGCGCUGUGUGGAACUGGAGUAAAUCAUCCAACCAAACAAUGGACAAAGGUAAAAGGAAACGUUCAAAAAAUUUCUGUGAAUUUGAAAAACAUUUGUUGAAGCAAAUUGUGUCAAACCACCCAAUUAUUGAGAAGAAACAGCAUGAGUCAUCAACAGAAAGCAAGAAAAAGAAUGCCUGGAGUAAAAUUUGCACUGAAUUUAACUCAAAUGAAAAAGUAAGCCAAAGGAAAGUCCAGCAACUUCAGGUAAGAGUGUAUUUAUUAGGUUUGCCCACUUUUACAAAUCAGUCCUUAAAGUUUGUUUUGUGUUGCACACACAGUGGGACUGAAACAUAUCUGUAAUUCAGAAAUUAAAGAAACCGUUUAAUAAUUACUAACAUAAUUUCUAAAUUGUCAUCUUUCCAAGAUCCUCUGGAAAAACAUAAAAAUUCAAUUAAAGAAGACAAAUGGUGCUGCUCGUAGGGACUGGUGAUGGACCCCUGGAAAGACCAGAGACAGAUGAUAUGGGGGACUUGUUGAGUGCCCUCAUUGAUAGCCAGCAACCCCUGGAAGGUAUCCCAGAUGAUGACCAUAUGGACAGUUCAGAUGGGACACCUGUCCAAUCUUCAUUUGAUGACCACAUAAGCUUGGAGGGCCUGAGAAAGGGUACAUGUCAGCCCACUACAUCUGAGGCAGCCAGGAGGGAAGAUGGUGUCGCUAAUCUGGGCCAAAUUACCAAGAGACAGACCAUACAUGAGAAACUGGCCAUGGACUAUCAUGAGCACAAAUUAAAGUAUUUAAAAGAAGAACAUGAAAUAAAGAUGAAAAUCCUUCAUAUUGAGUUGGCUUUGAAGGAGGAGGAGAGAAACAUGAAGCAGCAACAAAUGCUGUCCAGUUCUAGGUUCUGAAAUUUCAUUUGUUUAAACAAAAAUAAUCUUGAAACCAAUACAGGGCAAUUGUCAUAAUUCAUUGUCUUUGUGAAAAAUGCUGCAAAGCAAAAAUAUCUCUGCAGGCUAGUCCAUAUCUGUCUUUGUUGGCUUCAACAAUGGGAAUAUCUAGGUCACUGUCAUCUUCCAUUUCAGGAUCUGGCCAGCCAUGUUGUUUAAUGUAAUUGUGAAGCACUGCUGCAGCAAUUAUCACAAUACAGCAUCUUCUUGGUUAAAAGCGCAGUGUGCGUCUGAGACACUGGAAACGACUCUUCCACACACCAAACAUGCGCUCCACUAUACCUCUAGUGCGGAUGUGUGCUUGGUUGUACCUCUGUUGCUCUGGUGUGACUGCAUGAAGAUAGGGGGUGAACAAGAAGUUGUUCUGUGCAUACCCACUGUCAUCAAGUAUGAUUCCACUAUGUUGUCCUCCUUCCAAAUGAGCAUACAAAGAGGAGUUUUGGAAAAUCCUUGAAUCAUGAGUUGCACCUUUCCAGCGUGCAACAAUGUUGGAGAACUGCAUAGUUGGAGUGCACACACCUUGCACAUUUAUUGAGAACCAGUUUUUACGUUAUUCCUGUACUCUUCAGCAUCUGGUGUAGAGGGACGCUUUAUGGGAAUAUGACACCCAUCAAUGCAGCCAAUGACUCCAGGGAAAUUGGCAUAUUCAUAGAACUGCACCUUGUAGAUGGCUUGGGUAGCAGCAUCAGGGAACUUAAUGUAGUCAUCUUUUAGUUUACAUAUAGCAUUGCAGACUUGGAAUGUUCCACAUGCCAAAAACCUCAAGGUAAUCAGAAUUUGUAAGGAAGGAGGGAUAGGCCUUCCCCUUAAAGAGUGAGAUGAAAGCCUUGGUUCAAGCAAAAUAAUUACGUCAGCUACAUUUUGUUUGUACAUACAAAAACGGUCACGAAAGUUAAUUUCAUCAAACUCAUUCAGUGGGUUGCUCCUGUCUAUAAUUGCCCGACGAUCUGGUCUUGGUGGUACCCUUUCAUCAUCAUUAAAAUAGUCCAAGUAAUCCAUUUUCUUCGUUUGCUGAUGUCAACCUGGAGGCCAAAAUCAGUUAAUCUGAAGUUAAACCUGCCUCUGGCCAGGUUUAAAUUAUGCCAUCACUUAAACCUAGACUACCUCUGAUCGUCCUUUAGGAAAUCUAACUUUAUAGUUUAAGACUAAGGAAAGUCUGAGACUAUUUUAAACCAUGUCUGAGAAAUGGCUUUUCAGUUAAUCCAGUUUAAAUGUGCAUUUAAUUCUAAGAUUAGUGUUAAUCCCUGUCCGGGAAACCGCCCCAUAAUGUUUACAAACACCAUUUCAACACGGUUCUUAUUUCAUUCCAGGCCAAAUGCACGUAAAACAUGCUUAUAGCGUUAAUGCGCACGUAUGUAAAGGGCUAAUAACGUAAUAUAUAACGUUUACAAACACCAUUUCAACACGGUUAUCUCAUGUCAAUACUCAUGCCAUGCCACCUUAAAACAUGUUUUAUGUAUUGUUAUCGCUUAUUGGCUAAUUAAUAACAGUUUAAAUGCUCUGUUUUAUCAUUUUUAAUGGUCUUACCUGAAAAAAAUAACCAGGAAAUAGCCCAUUGCUGCUGUGUUAUACAGUUGACGUCCAGUCAUUGGUGAACUGGAUUUCUCUGAGUGUAUCUGGAGUCUUCUCUUGUAGUUGUAUCAUUGGUUAACCAUUUGGAUGGAUGAUGAUAACCUUCUGAGCCUACCAGUAGCUGCAACAUGCCCCCGGACCAUAUCUAUGGUCCCAUUAACCACUGAAAAUCAUCCAUUUAAUCGAGUGAUAACAUUUGAAGUGAUGUUUUGACUGCAAAUAUUAAUAUUCAAUGCUCCAGAAGCAGAGGUAUUAUGUAUUCAGGAAACAUACUGGGAUGAAGAAUGUGUUAUAAAAUGUAUGUAUGUAUAUGGGAUGGAAAUAUAUUUUAUAACAAUGGGAAAGAUAAACAGGGAAGAGGGGUAGCCAUUUUAAUAAAAAGAAAUACAUGUGAAAAACAAAGAAUGAUAUACAAUGAUGAGAGUGGGAAAUGUAUAACAGUAGAAAUAGAGAAAGAGGAAAAUAAAAUUACUCUAUGUAAUAUACAUGCCCCAAAUGAGGAAAAAGAAAAAGUGGACUUUUAUAGAACAAUAAUGACAAAAAUGAAAGAAUGGGAAAAUGUACUUUAGAUAGGAGAUUUUAACAUUGUUCAAACAAAACUAGAUAUUGGUAUCAAUAUGGUAUUUAAAUUGGACAAAGGGAGAGAAAAAUUAAAAGAGCACUUUAAACUUAUAGAUAUAUGGAGGGAAAGAAAUAAAACAAAAAGGAAAUUUUCUAGAAGACAAAAAGUUCAGGGUCUUUUAAAACAAAGCAGACUAGACCUAAUCCUAUAUACAAGAGAAAUAAAAAAGAAACAUAAGAAGUGUGUUUUACAAAGAAGCAGGAUUUAGUGAUCAUAAUUCCUUAUUGCUAAACUAAGAUUGCUCACCAGCUUCCAUUUUCCUGAACCAAACCUGUGCAAUAUACAACCUGGAACUUUUAUACACUUACCAUGCUGAGCAGCAAUUUUUGUUUGACAUCAUAUGGGUCACCAGUUCAUGCCUGUAUAAAAAUUUAUUGUUUUGGUGUUUAAAGUGUUAAUGGUGGUUGGACAUGGGUGUUGAAUUGUGUGUUUGUGUUUAUUUAUUUUCAUUAAUGUAUAUGUUGUUGCCAAUGAUUGUUGCCCAUGUUCCUAUAGUUAGAGGAGAAAACCCCCUACCAAUUUUAGAAUGGUUAGAUCCAGGGGCGGGACUAAGAGAAUAAAAUGGCUCCCACACAGUCAGUCUGUGUGGGUUAUUGUAGGAGUUGUUGUUUGUAGAUGGUAUACCAAGUAAAUGCUGUGGUCUUACUGUAGUGGUUUAGGUCAAUUGAUUUAGUUGAACUAGCUUGUAAAUAUUUUGUGUAUAGGCUAAAUUUUGUACAGUUUUAUUUUUCAUUGUGGAUUAUUUUAUUACUUACACCGUGUGUGCACUAAUAAAUCACCCUUCACCUGA